GUCCUUGUUGCGCAAUGGAUAGCUCUUUGGAUUUCUAAUCCAAAGGUUCGUGAGUUCGAAUUCCACCUGGGAUG